GCCCCGGUGGCGCAAUCGGUUAGCGCGCCGUACUUAUAGACAGUACCUCUCCUGUGUUCUGCACAGGGUUAGGCGAUGCGGAGGCUGUGAGUUCGAUCCUCACCCGGGGCA